GGCUCGGCUCAUGAACAGCCCUAGACUUAAGUGAUAAAAAUUUACCAACUUGCGUGUUCGGUGGGACGUUUCGACCAAUUGCAAGACUAAGGCCACUACGACGAGGAGCAGUGGUGUGUUGUUGCGAUGUUUCAUCAUCGGAUUUCGAUUCAGGAAGUAGCAUAUGAUCCAUAAACGUGCAGAAGUUCGUAAUUUGAGAAUGAAUGUUUUCUUGAACCUGUUUUUCUUGAUCUGCUAGGUCCGAUUUACUUGCCAUGUUUAUAAUCUCCUCGAUAUCUGCUUCUUCAGCAUCCUUUCCCACCCGAAUAUGACCUGGUAUAGAGGAAGAGCCGAUUUAUGUCUGUUUCGAAUUGAAGGCGUCUCGGAUCCUUUGCGAACGUCGGGCUUUUGGCAAGCGUGCCCA
rnacentral:lncRNA from 1 species